rfam:Sorghum bicolor cultivar BTx623 chromosome 4, whole genome shotgun sequence.
ACUCUCUCCGUCCUAAUAUAUAAGGCGCAAUCACUUUUUAUUUAUAUCCCAUAAUAUAAUAGCUCUCUCUCAUACAUCAAUACAGUAGUACUAGUAUUGAGAGAGAAUUAAAUAUGAUCUUGAUUUUUGAACCAAAGGUAGUUAAGCCUUAUAUACUAGGACGGAGGGAGA